GAUGAACGCUGGCGGCGUGCCUAAUACAUGCAAGUCGAGCGAACAGACGAGGAGCUUGCUCCUCUGACGUUAGCGGCGGACGGGUGAGUAACACGUGGAUAACCUACCUAUAAGACUGGGAUAACUUCGGGAAACCGGAGCUAAUACCGGAUAAUAUAUUGAACCGCAUGGGUCAAUAGUGAAAGACGGUUUUGCUGUCACUUAUAGAUGGAUCCGCGCCGCAUUAGAUAGUUGGUAAGUUAACGGCCUACCAAGGCAACGAUGCGUAGCCGACGUGGAAGGGUGGUAGCCCACCCGGGAACUGAGACACGGUCCUGACUCCUACGGGAGGCAGCAGUAGGGAAUCUUCCGCAAUGGGCGAAAGCCUGACGGAGCAACGCCGAGUGAGUGAUGAAGGUCUUCGGAUCGUAAAACUCUGUUAUUAGGGAAGAACAAAUGUGUAAGUAACUAUGCCCGUCUUGACGGUACCUAAUCAGAAAGCCACGGCUAACUACGUG
rnacentral:rRNA from 1 species